GACAGAGGGUGCAAACGUUGUUCGGAAUUACUGGGCGUAAAGCGCGUGUAGGCGGCAGGGCAUGUCGGAUGUGAAAUCCCGUGGCUCAACCACGGAAGUGCACCCGAAACUGCCCAGCUUGAGUCUCGGAGAGGAAGGCGGAAUGCUUGGUGUAGAGGUGAAAUUCGUAGAUAUUCGCAAGAACACCAGUGGCGAAGGCGGCUCACUGGCCCGAUACUGACGCUGAGGCACGAAAGCGUGGGGAGCAACAGGG
rnacentral:rRNA from 1 species